rnacentral:lncRNA from 1 species
CCGGUUAUUCUUUGGGAAGCUGAGUUCAUACUGUUUGUGCAUGCCAAAUUAUAAGAGGAUGUGCAAAGGACAGUUGCCCACUUAUCCUGAUGGACAGGUUUUGGCUGCUAGAAGUCAGAGCUGAGUGGAGAGUUCAAAGCGGCCAGCUGAAGGACAGGAAUCUAACCCUAUGUCAAAAGGGUUAGAUGUGGAGGUGCCCAGCAGGAGGUUUUCCAAAGAGACAGCCACAGAGCUACAGGAGAGUAAGAGUCUGCAGGGACAUUCGCCAUGCCACAGGGCACCAAUGCCCUGAGUAGCUUCUCCCUUCAAAUCCCUUGGCAUAAGGAAAGCAAGCUUCCCUGUUGUGAGCAGCCCUAUGGAGAGGCCCAUGUGGCAAGGAGCUGGCAUCUCAAGCCAGCAGACAGCAAGAGCCUGAGGCCUGCCGACAGUCACGUGGGUAAGCAAGGAAGUGGACCCUUCCCCAGCUGAGCCUUCAGAUGACUGCAGCCUCAGCUGACAUCUUGGUUGCAGCUUCAGGAGAUACCCUGAGUUGGAAGACUUCAGUUAAGCCUUAACUGGAUUCAUGACUCACAGAAACUGUGAAAUAAUAAAUGUUGUUUUUAGCCGUUAAGGUGUGGGAUAGUUAUGCAACAAUAGAUAACUAAUACAUAUAGAAAGAAGGGGAGAUCAACAGAGAUACAUGAAAGAGAAAGAAAAUACUUCAAUGAAGACUUCCAACUUGCAGUAAAUUAUAAAACAGCACAUCACUAAACCUACAGAGCUGUGCUUCUGAAAACCACACUCAUCACCUGAGACAUUUCUUUAAACUCUUUAUAAGAUGUAAGGGACUUAGUACUCCUAAAAAUAUUUUUCUGCUUUCUAUCACUUUACUGAUAUUCUCUGUUUAGGGAGAAAUUGUUCUUACAUAUUAUUCUUUACUUAUUUAGACAAUUUCCUGGGUUCUUUGAACAUAUUUAAAACAAUUGAUUUGAAGGCUUGGUCUAGUAAGUCCAAAAUCUAGGCUUCUGCCGAGACAAUUUCUAUGACUACUUUUCUUCUCUGUGUGUAGGCCAUACUUUUUUGUUUCUUUGCACAUCUUGUAUUUUUUUGUUGUUGAAACUAGGCAUUUUAGAUAAUAUAAUGUGGCAACUCUGGAAAUCACAUUCUCCUCCAUCCCCCUGGAUUCACAUUGUUGUAUUGUGAUAUGGCUUAGCUAUGUCCCCACCCAAAUCUCACCUUGAAUUGUAAUAAUACCCUUGUGUCAAGGGUAGAGAUAAUUGAAUCACUGGGGGCCAUUUUCCCAAUACUGUUCUCAUGGUAGUGAAUAAGUCAAAUGAGAUCUGAUGGUUUUAUAAAUGGGAGUUCCCCUACACAAGCUCUCUUGCCUGCCACCAUGUAAGACGUGCCUUUGCUUCUCCUUUGCCUUCUGCCAUGACUGCGAGGCCUCUCCAGCCAUGUGGAACUGUGAGUCCAUUAAACCUCUUUCCUUUAUAAAUUAUCCAGUCUCGGGUAUGUCUUUAUUAGCAGAGUGAGAACAGACUAAUACAUAUUGUUUCUCCACUUUGUGACUUCUCUGAAUUAAUUCUGUCAAGUCUGUAUUCCUCAUCGUCAUUAAUUCCUUUAUUGUUCUGCCCACCCACCAAUAUUCAUUAGCAAGUCAUUAGGAGAACCUCUCAGCUCUAGCUCUAAAAUCUGUGCCCUUUCCUCCAGCUGCACUGCUACCACUCCAGCCCAAGACACCUGCUUCUCUCUUCUAGGAUUCUCCCCAAUGGACUUCUUGCUUCUGCCUUACCCUUCCAUCUUCUGUUCUCCCCACAGCAUCCAGGAUGGUCUUAGGUUAUAAAAAGACUGGUUUCUACUUGGUAUCCUCCACCAAGGCUAGUACUGUGCUUUGCACAUAGUAGAUGUUUAAUCAAUGUCUACUUACACACAGUAAAUACACUUCUGUUACUCUUCUGCCUAUUCCCCUCCAGUGGCUUCCCUUCCAGAGCCCCUGAGGGCCUGGCUGAUGCGGC